GGUUUGGUGUUAUGCAAAUGAAAAGAAUCAUGUUAUAAAGUCUUGAUCUGAUGCUGUCAGCUGCAGAGGAGGAGAAACUCCCAUCAGAUCAUCUUCAACACCAACAUGUUCUCUGUAGCUCUGCUGCUGCUGCUGGCUGCUGCAUCCAGUAUAAAGUGUGAACAGCUGACACAGCCAGCCUCUGAGACUGUGCAGCCAGGUCAACGUCUGACCAUCAGCUGUCAGGUUUCUUAUUCUAUGAGCAGCUACUGGACAGCUUGGAUCAGACAGCCUGCUGGGAAAGGACUGGAGUGGAUUGGGAUGAAAUACACUGGAAAUUCAUUAUACAAAGUUUCACUGCAGAACAAAUUCAGUAUCGACUUAGACACUUCCAGUAAAACAGUGACUCUUAAUGGACAGAAUAUGCAGCCUGAAGACUCUGCUGUGUAUUACUGUGCCAGAGAGUCACAGUGACACAAACCAGCUGCAGAGCUGAACAAAAACCCCUCAGAACAUAAACAGAUUAUAUCAAACCACCAAAGGAGGAGCUUUGAGUACAUUUUUAAUAUUUGGAAACUUUGUCCACCUUGUUUUGCUUUUUUGU